CCUACGGGAGGCUGCAGUGGGGGAUAUUGCACAAUGGGGGAAACCCUGAUGCAGCGACGCCGCGUGGGUGAAGAAGCGCCUCGGCGCGUAAAGCCCUGUCAGCAGGGAAGAAAAUGACGGUACCUGAAGAAGAAGCCCCGGCUAACUACGUGCCAGCAGCCGCGGUAAUACGUAGGGGGCAAGCGUUAUCCGGAUUUACUGGGUGUAAAGGGGGCGCAGACGGGGAUGCAAGCCAGGAGUGAAAGCCCGGGGCCCAACCCCGGGACUGCUCUUGGAACUGCGUGGCUAGAGUGCAGGAGGGGAAGGCGGAAUUCGUGGUGUAGCGGUGAAAUGCGUAGAUAUCAGGAGGAACACCGGUGGCGAAGGCGGCCUGCUGGACGGCAACUGACGUUGAGGCCCGAAAGCGUGGGGAGCAAACAGGAUUAGAUACCCUAGUAGUC
rnacentral:rRNA from 1 species